rnacentral:rRNA from 1 species
UACGGAGGGGGAGCUAGCGUUGUUCGGAAUUACUGGGCGUAAAGCGCACGUAGGCGGCUUUGUAAGUUAGAGGUGAAAGCCCAGGGCUUAACCCUGGAAUUGCCUUUAAGACUGCAUCGCUAGAAUCGUGGAGAGGUGAGUGGAAUUCCGAGUGUAGAGGUGAAAUUCGUAGAUAUUCGGAAGAACACCAGUGGCGAAGGCGACUUACUGGACACGUAUUGACGCUGAGGUGCGAAAGCGUGGGGAGCAAACAGG